AUACGUAGGGAGCGAGUGUUGUCCGGAAUUACUGGGUGUAAAGGGUGCGUAGGUGGGACUGCAAGUCAGGCGUGAAAUACCGGGGCUCAACUCCGGGGCUGCGCUUGAAACUGUAGUUCUUGAGUGAAGUAGAGGCAGGCGGAAUUCCUAGUGUAGCGGUGAAAUGCGUAGAUAUUAGGAGGAACACCAGUGGCGAAGGCGGCCUGCUGGGCUUUAACUGACGCUGAGGCACGAAAGCAUGGGGAGCAAACAGGAUUAGAUACCCUGGUAGUCCAUGCCGUAAACGAUGAUAGCUAGGUGUGGGAGGACUGACCCCUUCCGUGCCGGAGUUAACACAAUAAGCUAUCCACCUGGGAAGUACGACCGCAAGGUUAAA
rnacentral:rRNA from 1 species